AUCACAUCAGCUCCACCAGGUGUCCCACAUGCCAAAGCACCUCUGUCAAGGCUUUAGGUUUGCAGCUGGAAGUUUUUGCAACCUGUUUUCUCCCACAGUUUCCUAAUUUCUUCACUGUGCCUACCAUUAAACACUGCUGAAAUUGCCUGCAGCUGUGUCCCUUAGUACUUUAUGGGCCCCAGGCCUCAGGUUUUCUGUUAAUCUCUGUAUUUAGCCUACAGCUGUUUGGAUCACUGGUGGGUUCAGCAGAAGGAGCAGAUGCAAUAACUCAUGAGGUGUGAGAAGCACAUCAGUAUCUGCCUCUGACCUCUGAUUUUCCUUGUUGUCUGGGCCGUGUGCCACAUCAUCCUGUUCUGUGAGUGAGUCCCCUUCAAAAUCUCACAGCUCAGGAGAAACCAGGUCAAGGAAGAGGAGGAUCUGAAGUGGGGACUGAGACCAAAAGAGCAGCCUUCAAAUGUUCUGUGGGAGCCACAGGAUCCCCUUUACUGGUUCAGCAUUAGGUUCCUCUUCUGUCUGCAUCCACCCUUCCUGAGGCUACUGCUCUUGGUGCCUGUAGUGGCGAUGAAAUCCUCCGUGCAUUAUUUUCUGCAGUUCCACCAGCACCUGAGGCAGACCCUGCCCCCCCAUACCCUCAGAGCUGGGGGGCUCCAUGGGACUGGGCCCUGCGUGGAGGGCUCAGGGCACCUCUCUGCAGCAAAACAGGAUGGAAUGAAUUGUGACCCAGAUUCUCUGACUACAGAUACACAGAUUGUGGUGACCAACUCUGAUAAAGAUGUCUACAAAACUGCCAGAUGAACCGCACCCUGUGAGACAAGCUGCUUUGAAAGUGUGUGGUUAAUUCUGCAAUCUCCCGAGACAGGUCUUUUUCUGUUUUACUUUAUGUGAGCUCAAGGCAGGUUGAUAAUAAAUUGAAAUUUAUUCUUAAGUUAAAUAAGAAUACUCUUGCAACACACGGCACCAGGUUGAACCAAAAUGGCACAUAUUCUUAUGCAGAUAAAGCAUAUGAUGAUCUUUGAUCUGUUUGUUAUGAACAACUGAUUAGAAUGAAGCAACUUUUGCAAUUAAAAAAAAAAAGCUUUCUCCUGUAAGACUGUCACCAUAUCAAUGUCAUCCAUGUGGACGUUCCUCAUAAACAACCAAGGAUUUUCUCAUGUUGUUUUCCCCCCUUCUUUGUUUUUUAAACCUUCUUGCUUGAUCCAGAACAGCUCACCCCUGACACACGCAUUAUUCACAGUUCAGAGCUGGAGCCAUGUCAGUUAUCCCAGACAUGCCCCAGAAUUGUUGUCUGUGGGCUGACAUUUCUCUAGCCAGAAGGACAGCAAGGAACAGUCACUCUGGCCAUAAAUCCCAUGCACAGAUAGCAGCUUAGAGAAAAGUCAAGGACUGGAGGAUUUUCCAAAAUGUUAGCUUUCUUUACAG